rnacentral:piRNA from 1 species
AAGAAAGGCCUAAAACUCUGUGAAUGUG